CCUACGGGAGGCAGCAGUGAGGAAUAUUGGUCAAUGGACGAGAGUCUGAACCAGCCAAGUAGCGUGAAGGAUGACUGCCCUAUGGGUUGUAAACUUCUUUUAUAUGGGAAUAAAAUGUUCCACGUGUGGGAUUUUGUAUGUACCAUAUGAAUAAGGAUCGGCUAACUCCGUGCCAGCAGCCGCGGUAAUACGGAGGAUCCGAGCGUUAUCCGGAUUUAUUGGGUUUAAAGGGAGCGUAGGUGGAUUGUUAAGUCAGUUGUGAAAGUUUGCGGCUCAACCGUAAAAUUGCAGUUGAAACUGGCAGUCUUGAGUACAGUAGAGGUGGGCGGAAUUCGUGGUGUAGCGGUGAAAUGCUUAGAUAUCACGAAGAACUCCGAUUGCGAAGGCAGUUCACUGGACUGCAACUGACACUGAGGCUCGAAAGUGUGGGUAUCAAACAGGAUUAGAUUCCCGAGUAGUC
rnacentral:rRNA from 1 species